UGUUUCUUGGUACUAGUGUAAGAAAUAAGGUCUGCCCAAUGAUUAUUUGAAUGGCCGCAGUAUAUUGACUGUGCGAAGGUAGCAUAAUCAAUUGUCUUUUAAUUGAGGUCUGGUAUGAAUGAUUUAAUGUAAGAUUGGCUGUUUCUUUCUGAUUAUUGAAUUUUUAAGGUAGGUGAAGAUACUUAUAUGAAAAUAAAAGACGAGAAGACCCUAUAAAGUUUAAUACUUAAGAUGAUGUUAUUAUUUUGUUUAUUAGUAUUUUAUUGGGGCAAUUGUAAAAUAAUAUAAACUUUUAUGAAUAUAUAAAUAUUUGUGAGUAAAUAUUAAAUGAUCCAGAUUUCUGAUUAUUAGAAUUAAUUACUUUAGGGAUAACAGCGUAAUUUGUUUAUAGAGUUCUUAUCGAUGAAUAAGAUUGCGACCUCGAUGUUGGAUUAAGAUACCUUUAUUGAUGCAGGAGUUUUAGGGGGCGGUCU
rnacentral:rRNA from 1 species